AUGAGCUGGGUCUCGCAAAGUAGCGUAGGUUGUGGCGUUCUAGAGACUGGUUCACUCCAUUGAAUAAUCGUGCCGAGUCAGGCGUGCAUGGCGGAUGACCUCGCUGUGUAUCCGAGGACAAGGAAUCAGUUGGUGUUAUGAUCUGGAGUUCUGAAAAUGAAAGAGCAAAAGGCUUCCAAAAUGCCCAAAGAAAGCAGACCAGAAACCUUUGUUGGCUAACCCAGAACAGGCUACCUCUGGUUCCAGCCAGAUACUUACUCUUAGUCUAGUAGGCACGUUCAAUAUACCCCAUUAAAUCCUUCUGCCAACAUACUUUUCUGAAUUUCCAAUUUUGCAGCAAAGAUAAACCCAGAAGAUUACCUUUGACAUCUGGUUUUUGAAGUCAGCAUGUACCUUAUGAACUUGGAUAGAUGAAGUUAAUUGUAGCUUCCGUUUCCUUAGAUGUGGUAAUCUGAAUUGCCUUUGUCCAGUUAGUCUGCCUUCAGUGAGCAAAUGUAUCUGAAUUGCCUCUCUACACAGACCACAUGUGAAUGUAUCACAAAACGUGUCAUUCAGUGCCUGUCUAAAAUUACAGUGUGCAGACCAUUGUUUCAGCAUGGCUAGUGACUGAGAAACAGACUUGCCUUCC